rnacentral:tRNA from 1 species
GCUUUGGUGGUUCAGUGGUAGAAUUCUUGCCUGCCACAUGGGAGGAUCGGGUUCGUAUCCCGGCCUAUGCA